rnacentral:rRNA from 1 species
UACGAAGGGGGCUAGCGUUGCUCGGAAUCACUGGGCGUAAAGCGCACGUAGGUGGGUCGUUAAGUCGGGGGUGAAAUCCUGGAGCUCAACUCCAGAACUGCCUUCGAUACUGGAGAGCUUGAGUCCGGGAGAGGUGAGUGGAACUGCGAGUGUAGAGGUGAAAUUCGUAGAUAUUCGCAAGAACACCAGUGGCGAAGGCGGCUCACUGGCCCGGUACUGACGCUGAGGUGCGAAAGCGUGGGGAGCAAACAGG